CUAUAGGUGUAUAAUAUAUAAAAUAACAUGUCCUGACUGACUUACUGAUUUACCAGUAUGGCGUAGGCAUCCACUAAGAGAGAAAUUUUGAAAAUUCAACCUAUAAAGGGGUGAAUAGGGGUUUUCAGGUAUUUUCGGUACGAAUAUUAAAUCGUUUAUUAAUUUCUUUUUGUUUAUUCAAGGGUUACCUUUGAAAUACGAAUGAUAAUCUGGUCGUCAUGGACUAUAAAACUAUCACUAUUAUUAUUAUUCCUAUUAUUUAUACAAUUAUUCAGCUAUAGUAAAGCAUAGCCGUGUAAGCUAUAGUAUGUUUAAUAUAUUGGUAGUCAUCAAAUAUUGGGUGUAUAAAAUAUAUAAACGAAAAUUCGUAAAUAGUGUGGAAUUUCUCAUUUUGCAGCGAUUUUUUGUAUUUUUUUUUUUUUGAAAAUAAAUAUUUUCAUUAAUAAUAGUACAUUUACAGGUAUAUAUGAAUACGCGUGAUUGGCGUAAUCGUCGAAUGUUUUUUAAUAAUUUCAUACAAAACUAUAAUAAUAUUAUAGUGUUCUAUAUUCAUAUAUUUUCAUUCUAUGAGGAAAGUCUAGAGUAUAAUCAAAUAAUUGCCACGAUUCGUAAAGAGGCCCGGUGUCGUUUUUCCGAUUUGGUAAAAUUUCAAAACGAUUUUUAACAUUUAAAUGACCACUAUAGGCGUAACUUUUAAAUUGGAAGGCUUCAGCAUUUACAAUUUUAUAACAAUAAGUAAAUUAAGUGGAAGGUUUAUCACUCCACACUCCAUCGUCGGUCGUCACACCACCUGCACAUUACAUUAAUUGUUAAAAGCACUAAAACUAUGGUUAUUUAUUUCAUGGUCGUCAUAAUGUGUUGUGUGUGACAUUUUGGUUAGGUUAGGUCAGGUAAGGAUUACAAUUUUCUUUUUAUUUAGGACAUUUGAUAGAUUUCUUUCAAUAGCUAAAACAGACAUCUUAAAAAAUCGUUUAGGUAACACAAUUUAGGAUUUUACAAAUCAUUAUAUGAUAAAAAACGAAAAUGUUACCACGGGCCAAUGAACUUAUUAUAGGUAUAUCUAUAAUAUUUUAAUGAAGACUUUUAAUCAUUUUUAUAAGUAAAAAAAUAUGUAAUAAAUUAUAAAUACAAUGUUGUGAUCAUAAUGAAAUAUUAUUAUUCAUACUUUUAAUAAUCCUCGCUGUUCUAUAAUAUUAUUCAACAUUCUGUUAAUUGUUAUUAUACCUGUUCGGGACGUAGGUAUGUAUGA